rnacentral:rRNA from 1 species
GGUGGCGAGUGGCGAACGGGUGAGUAAUACAUCGGAACGUGCCCUGUAGUGGGGGAUAACUAGUCGAAAGACUAGCUAAUACCGCAUACGACCUGAGGGUGAAAGUGGGGGACCGCAAGGCCUCAUGCUAUAGGAGCGGCCGAUGUCUGAUUAGCUAGUUGGUGGGGUAAAGGCCUACCAAGGCGACGAUCAGUAGCUGGUCUGAGAGGACGAUCAGCCACACUGGGACUGAGACACGGCCCAGACUCCUACGGGAGGCAGCAGUGGGGAAUUUUGGACAAUGGGGGCAACCCUGAUCCAGCAAUGCCGCGUGUGUGAAGAAGGCCUUCGGGUUGUAAAGCACUUUUGUCCGGGAAGAAAUCGCACCUGAUAAUACCGGGUGUGGAUGACGGUACCGGAAGAAUAAGGACCGGCUAACUACGUGCCAGCAGCCGCGGUAAUACGUAGGGUCCAAGCGUUAAUCGGAAUUACUGGGCGUAAAGCGUGCGCAGGCGGUUGUGCAAGACCGAUGUGAAAUCCCCGGGCUUAACCUGGGAAUUGCAUUGGUGACUGCACGGCUAGAGUGUGUCAGAGGGGGGUAGAAUUCCACGUGUAGCAGUGAAAUGCGUAGAGAUGUGGAGGAAUACCGAUGGCGAAGGCAGCCCCCUGGGAUAACACUGACGCUCAUGCACGAAAGCGUGGGGAGCAAACAGGAUUAGAUACCCUGGUAGUCCACGCCCUAAACGAUGUCAACUAGUUGUUGGGGAUUCAUUUCCUUAGUAACGUAGCUAACGCGUGAAGUUGACCGCCUGGGGAGUACGGUCGCAAGAUUAAAACUCAAAGGAAUUGACGGGGACCCGCACAAGCGGUGGAUGAUGUGGAUUAAUUCGAUGCAACGCGAAAAACCUUACCUACCCUUGA